GGGUGGUUUUAGCAGAGGGGCUCACCUGUUCCCAUUCCGAACACAGAAGUUAAGCCCUCUAGCGCCGAUGGUACUGCGAAAGCGGGAGAGUAGGUCGCCGCCAGUUU
rnacentral:rRNA from 1 species